rnacentral:rRNA from 1 species
GUGAACGCUGGCGGUAGGCCUAACCCAUGCAAGUCGAACGGCAGCACAGUAAGAGCUUGCUCUUACGGGUGGCGAGUGGCGGACGGGUGAGGAAUACAUCGGAAUCUACUUUUUCGUGGGGGAUAACGUAGGGAAACUUACGCUAAUACCGCAUACGACCUACGGGUGAAGGCAUGGGAUCUUCGGACCUUGCGCGAUUGAAUGAGCCGAUGUCGGAUUAGCUGGUUGGCGGGGUAAAGGCCCACCAAGGCGACGAUCCGUAGCUGGUCUGAGAGGAGGAUCGGCCACACUGGAACUGAGACACGGUCCAGACUCCUAAGGGAGGGAGCAGUGGGGAAUAUUGGACAAUGGGCGCAAGCCUGAUCCAGCCAUACCGCGUGGGUGAAGAAGGCCUUCGGGUUGUAAAGCCCUUUUGUUGGGAAAGAAAAGCAGCAGGUUAAUACCCCGCUGUUCUGACGGUACCCAAAGAAUAAGCACCGGCUAACUUCGUG